CUUCAUUUGGGAGAUGGAGUGUUCUGUAGCUAGAAAUCCUAUUGCUAGCUGGAAUCUGUCUACAAGGUCUGGAUCACAUCCUGUAGGUAUGACAAGCUUGACUUGAAGUUAACUGAAAGUGAAGCAGUCACCAUUUUAAGCUAAUGAGAUCUGUUUCUCCACAGUCACACUGCUUUCCUGAAGAAUACUGACAAGUUUAGCAAGAAAUGGGAGAAAAUGAUGGGUAUCAAUACUUAGAAAUGAUUAUAUUAUUAUGAUAUAUACACUGAUGCAGGAAUCACUGUUGUUAACAAUGAGGUCAAACAAGGAAUGAGAGUGGUGGUGGUAGGGAGAAAACAGAAGCAGAACUUGAUAUAGAUGGGAGGCAGAGCAAGAUCUCAGACCAGCUGUUGUCCUAACUAAAAAACCUUUACAAGUAUUCCUGAGCAUUAUUUUCAUUAAUUCAUGCUCCCUCCACUGCCUUUAAAUAAACGAAUGACUCCCAUCCUCUCAUUAAUCCAUGAAGAAGCUUUGAUCCAGUUUUUACAAGUGCAGUUCUUUGUAGAAGAAAAGAGAAACGUUCUCUUCCUUCCCCACCCCUUCCUCCCCUCCUGUCUUCUUCCCAGAGGAACUUUUUGGCUCUACUGUUAGCCAGAAAUAGAAUGAAGCCUGCUGACUGCAAGCUUCUGUUGGACAAAUAAUAUAGCUUGCUUUAAACAUAUCGGUACCCACAGUUGAGCCAGGCAAACAGAUGGAAAAAGUUUGAAAUAAAGCUGUG
ensembl:lncRNA